CUCGCUGCGCCGAGUUGGCGCGCACGCAGAAUAGGUUGCGCUCCGGGGGCGCCGGGGGCGCCGAGGGCGCCGAGCCCGCUGUGCCCGCGCGUAAGGCCCCUCUGUCCCGCGCGGGCCAGCCUCGAACUUCGGGGACUGAAAGCCGGGGUAAGGGAGGACGCUUGAGGCAAGGCCUGUCCCUUCACCGCGGCCCGGGCCGGGAGGGAGAUCACCGGCCUUUGGCAGCGGCCAAGCACCCACCUGCCAAGCGAGAAGCCCGCGAGCGCUCUGAGAGGCCGCGGGAACCGGGCCCGCCCUCUGCGGGAGGGACCUCGGCGCGGGGAACUGCGAGGAGGGGCCGCGCUUACAUGUUUGUGCAGCGCCGGCUUCACCUGGCCGCGAGUUUGAUUUCAGGGUGUGGCCUCAGGUAGGACAUAGCGAACGCAGAACAAGGGAAAAAUCGCGCAGGGGUGCAGGGGCAGCAAGGCAAGGAGCCCCGCUGCCGAAGGGACGACCCUUGCCCAGUGCUUUCUCUCCAACCUCUUGGCUCCAGCUCCCACCGACCCUGACACGGCCGCUCCCAUAGCUGUCUGCCCGCCACGCAAAGACCCGACCUGGAUUAUCCGCUGAGCACCGGCUGAUGCCUAUGUACCAAAACCACAGUUCCAAGCACUACCUUUGAACUAUUAAAACUACAAGAGAAACUACUAUUCCCAGAACCUCAAGCCUCUCUCUGCCUGCCUCUUAAGUUCUGAACUGUACUAGGCUCUUCAUGCCAGUGAGAAUAAAUGGGACUACCCCCUGAAACACAAACUGGUAUCGAGGGCCAAGCUUGCCUGAUAGUCCCAAAGAGACCUGGUAACUUGGGAUGAGCUGCUCAGAUGUAGGGAUCACUGCAGGCUAUGUCACCCUUCACAGAUACUUGAGGUACAUGCUGAGCUGUACUGGGAAGGUUUGGGGAACAAAAAGAGCCACCUCUGCACUGAGGACAGUCAUUUUGUAGACAUGAUGAAAUCAUUUAAUAUCUUCUCACAGAGCCAGGUUGUGGCUCAGUGGUAGAGUGCUUGCCUAGCAUAUGUGAAGCACUGGGUUCUAUCCCUUGCACCACAUAAAAAUAAAAACAAAUAAAAUAAAGGUAUUGUGUUCAUUUACAACUAAAAAAAAAAAAAUUUAAAAAACUACAACUACUCUGCAGCCUCCUGCUCUUUUUUUUUUUUAAUUUUUUUUAAAUAUUUAUUUCUUUUAGUUAUUGGCGGACACAACAUCUUUGUUUGUAUGUGGUGCUGAGGAUCGAACCUGGGCCGCACGCAUGCCAGGCGAGCUUGCUACCGCUUGAGCCACAUCCCCAGCCCCAGCCUCAGCCUCCUGCUCUUAACAGCUUCCAAAGUUCUAUCCAAAUGUCUUUUGCUGGCAUUUUAGCUCUCUGGCUGGCAUUAUUGCUGGCAGGGGGUAAUCCCAUUUAUUCCCACUGGCAUAACACUGGAAGCCUCCUUAAAAGGAAACUCUUCAUUGUCCUCUUCUCUCCUGAGCCUCCAGUAGCCAUUCCAGAACUGAGGCUGGGGCAGGGCAGUGCCAUUGAGCCCAGGGCCUGACUUUCAGGGAGGACAGGAGAGUAUUGGGGGAGCAGAAAACCUGUGCCUGAGCCAAGACCCAAGUUCCAGGGGAGGAGAGAGCCCAAGGAAGCAUGAUUUUGGCUGUGCAAGCCCCAUCUCCAACCCAAUGGGCAGAACACCUUAGCUAUAAAUGCACACAAGCUGCAGCUGUGGGCUCUGUGGCCUUCAGGGAACACUGCAUCUGCCCUGGAUCAGUGUUAGAAGGCAUGGCCUGUCUGCCACUUAGUCUGUGCUAGGCUGCCAUCCCCUUUCUGGGUCUUUCCUUCCCCAGCUCUGUUGCACACAUCUUAAAGAGCCCUAGACUGUGACAGAGGUGGCUGGCCUGUUGGGACAUUCCUGUGAAAGCUGACAAGGCAGGUCAUGGUCACACCACUGUCACACCCUCACCAGUCACUAGUACAAUAACCAAUGUAGGGUUGGUGGAUAUCUGGGGGCAGCUCCUCCCUGCCACUCUGCCCUUUUCCUCCAUAGGAGCCCUGAACAUCUGCUCCUGCUCCUAGGCCUGGUUCCAACCUUCCCUAGGACUGAGACUUCCACAUCUUCCCACCUUUCUGGAUCCCAGACAGCUUCCUCCAGCAAGAUCCACUCCAGUGGAAUAUAAAAGUCUUCUUGUCUCACCUGACCCUGGUUUCAGAGUGAGAGGUAACUGCCCUCCUACAUUUGGGAACUGACAUCUGAUGUUAUCUAUUGCACAUUUAAAUUAUUGCCUGGGGUUAAAAGUAAAUACCAGUGAGAAGACCACCUGAGGCAGAGGACCUCUUGUGUGCCUCCCCACCCUCUGCCCAGACUCUCUCAUGUCUAGACACUGUUAUUAUUCUCUUCUUGGGUUUAAGGCAUUACCAGUCUAUGGUUAAAAUGUAAGAUGCUACCCAGGACACAGAACUUGAGUUGAUUUAUUUACAAAUUAGUUAGAUCUGUUUAUCAGAAAGUGACCCAGUACUGGGGGACAAUUCUGUCCUUGGGGAGCCCUUGGUUAACAAGCAUGGGCUGGGCUGGGACUCUAUAUUAAACAGGGUAUAGGACGGGAGAGCAGAGGCAGGAAGCAUAGAAAAGGGAUGGGGCCACUGCUCUCAAGCCAUCAAGCUACCUAGCAGUUCUUACCUGCUCCUGUAUGGGGGCCCUGUUGAUGGACAGGCAGCCUGGGCAGUAGAAGAAAACUGGGCACAAAUUGGAACCCCUGGUCCUGAACCACCCCCAGCCCCGACAAGUUAGCAGUGUCAUCUCAGUACUUACUUUUCUUCUCUGGGCCUGUUUCCCUCUGUAAAAAAUGAUGGGGUUUGGACUAGACAUUCUCAGAGGACUCCCUGUGGCUUGAAUGUGCUGUAGCAAGCAAUCUGAGAUGACCAGUUCCCUUAUGGUAGCCUUUCCUCCUCUGAGCUCCUCCCUGCUGACCUGGUACUGUGCUGGGCCAUACAAGGAGACUCUGGUGUAACUGGUCCCCUAACUCCCUCUACUCCUGUGCCUUCCUCUGCAUAAUUCCAUAUGGAGCCUUAUUUGAAACUGAAAGAAAGAAAAUGGAGCUGGAGAUGCUCCAGGCUAGGGAGCUGAACCACAGAACCAGUCUACCCGGUUUUAACUCUACUGCUGCCAUAAUCUUCAGGAGCCCCUUCACCAGGCAGGCAGGCAGGCAGGCAACAGGAGACCUUGACCAAGGUGACUGGUUUGUUGCUAUUUGCCCUGGGGAGAGUGAGCUGGGUCCUGCUGCACUGAGAUCAGAGGCCAGAACAAAUGUACCACCUACCUGCACUUUCUACACCUGCUUCUCUGAGCACCCAGAGGGGCCUCCUCAGGUCCUGGGCAGCCUAAGUAUGUAUGAAGGACAAAAGUCUGCUUCCACCUGAGUGGACAGAAGCUGUGGGCAAACCAGAGCACAAGUAGAUUAUGACCAGGGCAGAGACGCCUGGAUUUGCUGAUCAAGGCACCACUUUGGCAGAAUAGGUUACCACAGAGAACCCACAGGUGUGCAAAAGUAGUCAUCAUUGUUCCUCUGUAAAUACUUGGGUCUCUGCACUGCCUGAUGUGUCAUGAUGAGGUUUUAUAGAAAAUGCUGGCCAGCAUGGGUGUUCCUUUGUAGGAAUGAGGCCCAUGUGACCUCUUAUGUAGUUAUAAGGGUACUUUUUUUUUUUUUUCAAAACACGAUUUCGCUCAGAAUUUGAAAGCCUGUUAUGUUUUGGGUUUCACUUUAUUUUUUUUUUUUUGGGGGGGGUGACUAGACUGAGGGAUUGCUUUUCCUAAAUUCAUAGGACAGAUAAACUUUUGGUAAUAAAAGCAAAGAAAGUCUGAGACUGAGCCUUAUGAUAACCAGGCAUUUCCAAGUCACUUGCCACAGUAGUCAAGGAGCUCUCAGUGGUCUCCAACUCCAGUCCCUCCACAUGCAGCACCUCCAAGUUUUGUGCUUUAUAUGGGGGUCAAUAGAAUAUGGUUAUUCAAGGAAUUGUGGACACCAUGUGACAAAAGAGUCCAGGUUCAAACAGGAAUGGGACCAGGGCCAUACCCAGCCUCUUGAUUACUAUGUGCAGUCCAGUCCAAGUACCCACAUUUUGAACUCCAGACCCCCAUAAGGGGGUCUAAUAGUCUUAAGUAGCCAGGCACAGUGGCACAUGUCUAUAAUCCCAGCUACUCAGGAGGCUGAGGCAGGAGGAUUCCAAGUUUGAGGCCAGCUUGAGCAACUUAGAACCCCCAUCUCAAAAAAAAAAGAUGGGGAAACUGAGGAUGUGAUGAGUGAUAGAGUGAGCCUGGGUUCAUUCCCUAAUACUAGAAAAAGAAUUAAUUCUUUAAAUUAAUUCCUGAGAGAAACUCAGUGGGUAAACAGUUUGCUACUGGGAGAAAAAUGGACCUGGUAUUGCAGUUCUUCCUAGCUUGGAUGGGCAUAGAUCUACCAGCAUUCUGAGAGCUUCGCUUUUCUUGAGGGAAGGGUUCUUCUACAGCCACCUCCUCCAGGAAGCCUUUCCUGAUUCUCUUAAACAAGGUCUCUUCCUCAUGGCACCUUGCUCCUUCAGUAAUCUUAGCAGCACCCAUAUUGUUUUACUUAAUGCUGUUUCAACAACCAUAUCACAUAGGUAUUAUAAUUAUGUUUGUUGAACAUGUCAGGAAAUCAAGACCUAGAGACAUGAAGUAACUUAUCCAAGUCACCAGGAAGAAGCAAUGCCAGGCCUGAUGCUCAUCCUGCUGACUACACUGUUAACCCCAUCAUCCUGUUUAGCACAACAGACUAAAACCCAGGAAAGAUAAGAUUCCCUUUACCUCAUAUCUCCCACUUCUCAAUUUAGCUCCCUUUGGGCCCUACUACUGUGUCUUACUACAUGAGCACUCAUUUUCCGCUAGGACCUGUAGAUUGAAGCUUUUUCCAUAAGUGUUUUUCAUUCUUUUUUUUUCCCCCUUUGGUCCAUCUGUAUAAAGUCUAUGUUAAGAAUCA